UGGGGAAUAUUGCACAAUGGGCGCAAGCCUGAUGCAGCCAUGCCGCGUGUGUGAAGAAGGCCUUCGGGUUGUAAAGCACUUUCAGCGGGGAGGAAGGCGUUAAGGUUAAUAACCUUGGCGAUUGACGUUACCCGCAGAAGAAGCACCGGCUAACUCCGUGCCAGCAGCCGCGGUAAUACGGAGGGUGCAAGCGUUAAUCGGAAUUACUGGGCGUAAAGCGCACGCAGGCGGUCUGUCAAGUCGGAUGUGAAAUCCCCGGGCUCAACCUGGGAACUGCAUUCGAAACUGGCAGGCUAGAGUCUUGUAGAGGGGGGUAGAAUUCCAGGUGUAGCGGUGAAAUGCGUAGAGAUCCGGAGGAAUACCGGUGGCGAAGGCGGCCCCCUGGACAAAGACUGACGCUCAGGUGCGAAAGCGUGGGGAGCAAACAGG
rnacentral:rRNA from 1 species